CAAGUCUAUUCCAAACAUCGACUCCUUUAUUUGAAAGAGUAUGUUUUACAUAGUUCGUUCUUUUGUAUGACUUGUGGAGUUGUGUUUUAUUUCUUGUAUUGUGUUGGUGGAUUUGAUCAUUGGUCACAAUAAUAAUAAAUACUAUAGUGCUGUUCCAACGUACAAUAAUGUGAAAAAAAGAAAAGAAAAAAAGAGAUGAAAAAGUUUUUUCAUCAAGUGAGAAAAAUUUCCGGAGAAACUUUCCAAAAUUGUUGUCGCUCCAAUAUUGUUUAGGUCCAUUUUUUUAAGUAUUUUAUAAAGCGUAUGCUAUGUAUGUGCU